GAUGAACGCUGGCGGCGUGCCUAAUACAUGCAAGUCGAGCGAACAGACGAGGAGCUUGCUCCUUUGACGUUAGCGGCGGACGGGUGAGUAACACGUAGGUAACCUACCUAUAAGACUGGGAUAACUUCGGGAAACCGGAGCUAAUACCGGAUAAUAUUUCGAACCGCAUGGUUCGAUAGUGAAAGAUGGCUUUGCUAUCACUUAUAGAUGGACCUGCGCCGUAUUAACUAGUUGGUAAGGUAACGGCUUACCAAGGCAACGAUACGUAGCCGACCUGAGAGGGUGAACGGCCACACUGGAACUGAGAACCGGUCCAGCCCCCUACGGGGGGCAGAAGUAGGGAAUCUUCCGAAAGGGGCGAAAGCCUAACGGAGCAACGCCGGGUGGGUGAUGAAGGGUUUCGGAUCGUAAAACUCUUUUAUUAGGGAAAAAAAAACGUGUAAGUAACUGGGCACGUCUUGACGGUACCUAAUAAGAAAGCCACGGCUAACUACGU
rnacentral:rRNA from 1 species